rnacentral:lncRNA from 10 species
GAGGGUCGCUGAAGAUGUAUGCCCGGGGGCGGCACAUCUUGCAGAUGGCAAGGCCUGUGAGGCCGGCACCACUGCCAAGUUCUAGGACAGUCCUGGCGGGAGGAAAGGGGACCGUGUCUUCGACUGCACCAGGGUAAGCCUGCCUUGGUGCCCUGCCCUGUGCCCCGAGGUCACCUGUUAGUGAAGGCUGCUGGGUUCUCGAUGGCCCAUUCUGCAAGGCAGAGGGUGGCGUCCCAUGUGACCAGGCCUGUGGUACCGUGAGAGAUGAUGGCUGUGCUCUCGGAGAUUGUGACCGAGCCUCCCGAGGGCUGCACCAAGAGAGGGCGAGAGAGUCAGUCCAGCGAUCAGAAGGCAAGUGGCUUAGAAGACAAGUAGCCAUCCACCACAUGGCUGAAUAAACCAUGACAGGACCAAUCGCCACUCAGCAAUGAGAAGCAGCUAACUGUUGACAUACCAACAGCUUUCACGGGCCUCAAGAUUGUCACGUGGCAUGAAAGACACUCAUCUCAGGCCACACAGGAUUCCAUUCAUCGAACAUUCCUGAGACAACGGAAUUCUGGCGAUGGAGCACAGGAUGCUUCACAGUCUACGGCAAAGGACAGAACGUUGGUUGCUCGAGAGCCCGUCUUAAGUCUCCUAUGAGCUUCAAGCCAACACAACAGAGGGCAAACUCCAGGCUACCUGAUCCCUCAGCAAAGAUGCAGAUGGACACAGCGUUCUGGCCCCACGCAUCUGAAGUUCGUCUUAAGAUGUAAGCCGUUUCCUAAAAAUGCUUCCACUGCAGUGGCACAGGCUAUGGCAGCAUUUCUAACGCCCAUUCUGAGCAGGAACACAGGGCAUGUGGGUCCCAACCACCUCCCUCCCAGGGGAGCCAGUGUGAACCAGGGUUUGC